GGAAUGAAAGUGAACGGAGGUGAGAGCCCCCCCCGCGGGGCGCAUCAUCGACCGGUCCCGCCCGUCCGGGAUCUGAGUGGGAGCACGGCCGUUGGGACCCGAAAGAUGGUGAACUAUGCCCGAGGAGGGUGAAGCCAGAGGAAACUCUGGUGGAGGCUCGCAGCGGUUCUGACGUGCAAAUCGAUCGUCACACUUGGGUAUAGGGGCGAAAGACUAAUCGAACCAUCUAGUAGCUGGUUCCUGCCGAAGUUUCCCUCAGGA
rnacentral:rRNA from 1 species